rnacentral:rRNA from 1 species
UACGGGGGGGGCAAGCGUUGUUCGGAAUUACUGGGCGUAAAGGGCUCGUAGGCGGCCAACUAAGUCGGAUGUGAAAUCCCCAGGCUUAACCUGGGAACUGCAUCCGAUACUGGAUGGCUUGAAUCCGGGAGAGGGAUGCGGAAUUCCAGGUGUAGCGGUGAAUGAUCGUAGAUAUCAGGAGGAACACCGGUGGCGAAGGCGGGUCUCUGGGCCGAUACUGACGCUGAGGAGCGAAAGCGUGGGGAGCGAACGGG